UUUUUAGUUCCCUGUGUCGAUCACUUAGAUGGUUUAGACGGUGGGGGGAUUGGUAUUUGCACUCCUUCGUGCCUCCUCUUCUUGCUUUUGAUAAUUCCAAUAGGUGCCGGGGUGGAUUUUGGUGCUGGUAGGAGUGCCGGAUUGCUCAGUAUGCCGGCAACGGAGGUGGCAAGACUGAACACCACGGCCUCCAGACGGCUAAUUGCCGCCAUCACCUCUUUAUAAACCCCCGGAGGUUCCUCAUUCCUAGGGCGGCGGUGGCGCCGU
rnacentral:lncRNA from 1 species